rnacentral:rRNA from 1 species
GAGAUUUUCGCAAUGCCCGAAAGGGUGACGAUGCGACGCCGCGUGGAGGAUGAAGGCCUUCGGGUUGUAAACUCCUGUCAGGGCAAAAGAAGGGGAGGGGAGGAAACUCCCUGACCUUGACUCAGCCCAAAGGAAGCCCCGGCUAACUCCGUGCCAGCAGCAGCGGUAAGACGGAGAGGGCGAGCGUUGUUCGGAAUUACUGGGCGUAAAGAGCGCGUAGGCGGGUCCGUAUGUCAGGGGUGAAAGCCCCCGGCCCAACCGGGGAAUUGCCUCUGAAACUGCGGUCCUCGAGUGGAGCAGGGGGGAGUGGAACUCUCGGUGGAGCGGUGAAAUGCGUUGAUAUCGAGGGGAACGUCGGCGGCGAAGGCGACUCCCUAUGCUUCUACUGACGCUGAGGUGCGAAAGCCAGGGGAGCGAACGGGAUUAGAUACCCCGGUAGUCCUGGCCUUGAACGGUGGGCACUAAGUAGAGGGGUUUUA